AAGUCGUACGCUUCUUUUUCCACCGGAGCUUGCUCCACCGGAAAAAGAGGAGUGGCGAACGGGUGAGUAACACGUGGGUAACCUGCCCAUCAGAAGGGGAUAACACUUGGAAACAGGUGCUAAUACCGUAUAACAAUCGAAACCGCAUGGUUUUGAUUUGAAAGGCGCUUUCGGGUGUCACUGAUGGAUGGACCCGCGGUGCAUUAGCUAGUUGGUGAGGUAACGGCUCACCAAGGCCACGAUGCAUAGCCGACCUGAGAGGGUGAUCGGCCACAUUGGGACUGGGACACGGCCCAAACUCCUACGGGAGGCAGCAGUAGGGAAUCUUCGGCAAUGGACGAAAGUCUGACCGAGCAACGCCGCGUGAGUGAAGAAGGUUUUCGGAUCGUAAAACUCUGUUGUUAGAGAAGAACAAGGAUGAGAGUAACUGUUCAUCCCUUGACGGUAUCUAACCAGAAAGCCACGGCUAACUACGUGCCAGCAGCCGCGGUAAUACGUAGGUGGCAAGCGUUGUCCGGAUUUAUUGGGCGUAAAGCGAGCGCAGGCGGUUUCUUAAGUCUGAUGUGAAAGCCCCCGGCUCAACCGGGGAGGGUCAUUGGAAACUGGGAGACUUGAGUGCAGAAGAGGAGAGUGGAAUUCCAUGUGUAGCGGUGAAAUGCGUAGAUAUAUGGAGGAACACCAGUGGCGAA
rnacentral:rRNA from 1 species